UAACGACUCUCGGCAACGGAUAUCUCGGCUCUCGCAUCGAUGAAGAACGUAGCGAAAUGCGAUACUUGGUGUGAAUUGCAGAAUCCCGUGAACCACCGAGUCUUUGAACGCAAGUUGCGCCCGAAGCCAUUAGGCCGAAGGCACGUCUGCCUGGGCGUCUCACA
rnacentral:rRNA from 1 species